rnacentral:tRNA from 1 species
GAUGGUAUAGCCAAUUGGUAAGGCACAGGUCUGCAAAAUCUUGAGUAUCGGUUCAAAUCCGAGUACCAUCC